rnacentral:rRNA from 1 species
CAUGACUGGGGUGAAGUCGUAACAAGGUAGCGCUAGGGGAACCUGGCGCUGGAUCACCUCCUUACACGAUGAU